AAUUCCAAUCAAUCCCUAAGAGAGGUGAUCUCUCAGAGGCAUUUUAUUGAUGAAUUUGACCUCAAAUCAGGUAGGACUACCCGCUGAACUUAAGCAUAUCAAA
rnacentral:rRNA from 1 species